rnacentral:sRNA from 1 species
CUUGGCGUCGGCGUAACGCUUGGGGUCGUCGCCGAACUCGGCCAGCACCCGAGCACCGAGGACCACACCGAGGCCGGGCAGG